GGUCCGAGAGUAGUGGUGUUUAC
rnacentral:piRNA from 1 species